GGGGAUAUUAGUUCAGUGAUAGAGCAAGAAUUUAUAUGUCCUAGGCCCUGGAAUCAAUCCCCAGUAUCUCCA
rnacentral:tRNA from 1 species